CCGAUCAUUUUGUUCUACUGAACGCAGUCAAUGUAUAGGUUUUGCAACAGAAGUGAAGAAAAAUGGAACAUAGAAAGAAGAAAAAAAUAUGCGCUAUUGUGAUGCUAAUGAUGUUAAAGUCACAAUAUGAGAAAAAGGUUCUUCCUAAAAAAAAAAAAAAAUGCGGGUUAGAUCCUGGAUAGCUAAAAGAGCACAAGAAGGUUGUUUUCAUAACCUCUUUCUAGAAUUACAACUAGAAGAUCCAGACAAGUAUCGCAGAUGUCUUCGUAUGUCUUCAGAUUUGUUUGAGGAUCUUGUGAAGAAAUUGGAGCCAUUAAUUAAAAGACAGGAUAUCCUCAUCUUCGACAAAAUAUCUCUCCUGCAGAAAGACUUGCUGUAACAUUACGUCAUUUGGCAACAGGUUGUUGAGCAUAUCUAUUUUAAGAGAAAGUAAAAAAUCACUAUCUUAUACUUUCCGUCUUCGACAAAGCACUAAAUCUGGGAUCAUACUUAUCGUGCUCUCAUUUCUGUUUUGCAAGAAACACAUCUUAAAUUUCCUGACAGUGAAUUGGCUUGGAAAGUAAUUGUUCAUGAUUAUAUGGAAAGAUGGAAUUUUCCGAAUUGCUUGGGUGCCAUGGAUGGGAAACAUGUUCGGAUAGAUCCUCCACUUCAGUCUGGUUUCUCAUACUUUAAUUACAAGGAAAUGUUCAGUAUCGUGCUUUUGGGGGUUGUGGAUGCUCAGCUUCGAUUUAUAUUCGUCGAUGUGGGCACAAAUGGACGAAUAUCUGACAGAGGAAUAUGGAAUAAAUGUGCUCUAAAACAUCAUUUGCAAAAAAACGACAUUAAUAUUCCUCCACCAAGUCCCCUACCAGGUACUGAGCAGGAUUUUCCUUAUGUAAUUAUAAGAGAUGAAGGUUUUUCUUUACCUACAAAUGUGCUCAUACCUUAUCCCGAGGAGCAAUGUGCAGGAAAAAAAGAGAGAAGAAUUUAAUUACAGAUUAUCUAGAGCGAGACGAUGUGCGAAAAAUGCAUUCAUGGAGUCAUGGUCAGCAAAUUUAAUAUAUUCAGAUCUCCAAUGAGAUACGACCCAGAUGAUACUCGUUGCAUUGUAUUGGCGAUUUGUUGUCUUCAUAACAUGUUGAAAUCUCACAGUAUAGGCCGUAUGAUGUAUACUCCACCAGGAUAUAUUGAUAUGGAAGAUGAAAUGACAGGUCAAUUGCAAUAUGGAGAAUGGCGAGAUGAACAAGGACAAGAUUUAUUAAGAUUACAACAUCAAGGAGGCAAUCGUCAUGCUUCUGCUGCCAUAGAAAUGCGAGAAAAUUUAUGUGAAUAUUUUAAUAACAUUGGAAGAGUACUAUGACAAGAUCAGGCAAUUCAGUGACAGUAAAAUAAAAUAUAUUUUUGUAGAACUUUUCUCCACUUUGUAUUUUACUAGCUUUGUAUUUUAUCAGCAUAACAUAUUUAGAUAACAAUUAUAAAUAAACAAUAUUAAUAUUUUUCAACAGACAUUUUAU